UUUAGGCCUGGCAUACUAAGAAAUAAAUAGCGUUCCAUUAUAUCUUAUGCCUUAAUAUAACACUGCAAUCAAGGUUUUCACCUAAAAAGUGUUGACAUAACAACCAUGCAACACAGCUCCUAGCAGAACACGAUACAGCCAUCUCAUGUAGGCUCCCAGUAUCAUUGAUCUUUCUUAGACCUGCACAAAAAUUAAAGCAACAUUUUGGAUGUAGGGGUACUAUGACCAAAAGACAUUCUAGAAG
rnacentral:lncRNA from 1 species